rnacentral:rRNA from 1 species
UACAGAGGUCCCAAGCGUUGUUCGGAUUCACUGGGCGUAAAGGGCGCGUAGGCGGUCGGGUAAGUCUGAUGUGAAAUCUCACAGCUUAACUGUGAAACUGCAUUGGAUACUAUCCGGCUCGAGGAAUGGAGGGGAGACUGGAAUACUUGGUGUAGCAGUGAAAUGCGUAGAUAUCAGGUGGAACACCAGUGGCGAAGGCGAGUCUCUGGACAUUUCCUGACGCUGAGGCACGAAAGCCAGGGGAGCAAACGGG